rnacentral:rRNA from 1 species
UACGUAGGGGGCUAGCGUUGCUCGGAAUCACUGGGCGUAAAGGGUGCGUAGGCGGUUCUUUAAGUCAGAGGUGAAAUCCUGGAGCUCAACUCCAGAACUGCCUUUGAUACUGAGGAUCUUGAGUUCGGGAGAGGUGAGUGGAACUGCGAGUGUAGAGGUGAAAUUCGUAGAUAUUCGCAGGAACACCAGUGGCGAAGGCGGCUCACUGGCCCGAUACUGACGCUGAGGCACGAAAGCGUGGGGAGCAAACAGG